rnacentral:rRNA from 1 species
GACGAACGCUGGCGGCGUGCUUAACACAUGCAAGUCGAACGGAAAGGCCCUGCUUUUGUGGGGUUCUCGAGUGGCGAACGGGUGAGUAACACGUGAGUAACCUGCCCUUGACUUUGUGAUAACUUCAGGAAACUGGGGCUAAUACCGGAUAGGAGCUCCUGCUGCAUGGUGGGGGUUGGAAAGUUUCGGCGGUUGGGGAUAGACUCGCGGCUUAUCAGCUUGUUGGUGAGGUAGUGGCUUACCAAGGCUUUGACGGGUAGCCGGCCUGAGAGGGUGACCGGCCACCUUGGGACUGAGAUACGGAGCAGACUCCUACGGGAGGCAGCAGUGGGGAAUAUUGCACAAUGGGCGGAAGCCUGAUGCAGCAACGCCGCGUGCGGGAUGCCGGCCUUCGGGUUGUAAACCGCUUUCGCCUGUGACGAAGAGUGAGUGACGGUAAUGGGUAAAGAAGCACCGGCUAACUACGUG